AGCUUGAAUUAGAGGAAGGGGGUGUGGCCUGGGGACAACUAAACAUGGGCCUGUCCAAACAGCCGUCACCCUGACUGCAGCACCCCUCCGGCUCGCCCGGCUGCUCCUGCAAACCACCCUGUGUCCUCUCCACAGAUUGGACCCUCCCAUCUCUUCCCGCCAGAGCUCAGGACACCGAAGACCAGCUUGCCCUGUGGCUGGAGCCACCCCAGAGUCCCUGCCAGGCCCAGGAGGAGGCUGCAGGGCGCAGGGAGCAGGGACAGCUAUGGCUGGAUCUCAGUCCUGUCUCCAGUAAAUGUCAGUCUCCUAAUCUGUGAAAUGGGGGUAACCACAACUGGAGCCACCUCACUGAGCUCAGAUGAUGAAACAUACAUUGCCCAGCUCGUGGACGCUCCUGCCAACAGCUGCCUGGCCUAGCCCACAUCACAAUAUCACCGGGUGACAACUCUAUGGCAACUCGUCAAGUGUCAUCCCACAUGACAUCCCAUUUUAGGAAAUAGCCUUGGACCUCUUUCAUCCAAAGUGAGAACUCUGUGGCUCAGCCUUUCAAGAUUUUCUCUUUUGUAUUCCUCCACAGUAUCAGCUAAAAUCCUUUCACACCAAAAAGCGUUAAUCAAGAGUAUAAUUUCCAGGCCAAAAAUUGCUCAGUUUUCAGAUUGAAGCUAUAAGAAGUCUCGUUCAAGUACAUUUUUGCUCCUGAAAGAUUAAAAUAAUGGGCAUAAGAAAAGAUUCCUUCUCUUUUAUUGAUUGAAGUAAG